rnacentral:rRNA from 1 species
UGGGGAAUAUUGCACAAUGGGCGCAAGCCUGAUGCAGCGACGCCGCGUGCGGGAUGGAGGCCUUCGGUUGUAAACCGCUUUUGUUCAAGGGCAAGGCAGGCUUUCGGGCCGUGUUGAGUGGAUUGUUCGAAUAAGCACCGGCUAACUACGUGCC